UGCGGGCUGGGAAGUCCACAGAAGCCUAUCGGGAGACAGGUACUUAAUCUACAGUUGGAGGUAAACAAAACUGGAGUCCAGAUCAGGAGAAAAGAAAAAACGUCUUACCAAACUCCAAACAGCCGAAUGUGCCUCUGAAACCAUGUGUGUGGACACAACCUGCCAGUGGGUAGAGCUCUUGCCG
ensembl:misc_RNA